rnacentral:rRNA from 1 species
UACGGGGGGGGCAAGCGUUGUUCGGAAUUACUGGGCGUAAAGGGCUCGUAGGCGGCCAACUAAGUCCGACGUGAAAUCCCCAGGCUUAACCUGGGAACUGCGUCGGAUACUGGAUGGCUUGAAUUCGGGAGAGGGAUGCAGAAUUCCAGGUGUAGCGGUGAAAUGCGUAGAUAUCAGGAGGAACACCGGUGGCGAAGGCGGGUCUCUGGGCCGAAACUGACGCUGAGGAGCGAAAGCGUGGGGAGCGAACAGG